rnacentral:rRNA from 1 species
CCUACGGGUGGCAGCAGUGAGGAAUAUUGGUCAAUGGCCGGAAGGCUGAACCAGCCAAGCCGCGUGAAGGACGAAGGUGCCAAGCAUUGUAAACUUCUUUUGUCAAGGGACAAAAUCAGGCUCGAGAGCCUGACCUAGGGUACUUUAAGAAAAAACAUCGGCUAACUCCGUUCCCGCAGCCGCGGUAAUACGGAGGAUGCCGGCGUUAUCCGGAUUUAUUGGGGUUAAAGGGUGCGUAGGCGGACUGUUAAGUCAGCGGUAAAAGCCCGGGGCUCCACCCCGGCGAGCCGUUGAAACUGGCUGUCUUGAGAUGUAGAGAGGUAUGCGGAAUGCGCAGUGGAGCGGUGAAAUGCUUAGAUAUUGCGCAGAACUCAGAUUGCGAAGGCAGCAUAGCGGCGGCGAUCUGACGCUGAGGCACGAAAGCGUGGGUACCGAACAGGAUUAGAGAGUAGUC